UUUAUGGAGAGUUUGAUCCUGGCUCAGGAUGAACGCUGGCGGCGCGCCUAAUACAUGCAAGUCGAGCGAACGGACGAGAAGCUUGCUUCUCUGAUGUUAGCGGCGGACGGGUGAGUAACACGUGGAUAACCUACCUAUAAGACUGGGAUAACUUCGGGAAACCGGAGCUAAUACCGGAUAAUAUUUUGAACCGCAUGGUUCAAAA
rnacentral:rRNA from 1 species